UGCGUAGGCGGGUUUCUAAGUCAGAGGUGAAAGCCUGGAGCUCAACUCCAGAACUGCCUUUGAUACUGGAAGUCUUGAGUAUGGCAGAGGUGAGUGGAACUGCGAGUGUAGAGGUGAAAUUCGUAGAUAUUCGCAAGAACACCAGUGGCGAAAGCGGCUCACUGGGCCAUUACUGACGCUGAGGCACGAGAGCGUGGGGAGCAAACA
rnacentral:rRNA from 1 species